CAGUCGCCGCGGUAAUACGGAGGGUGCAAGCGUUAAUCGGAAUUACUGGGCGUAAAGCGCACGCAGGCGGUCUGUCAAGUCAGAUGUGAAAUCCCCGGGCUUAACCUGGGAACUGCAUUUGAAACUGGCAGGCUAGAGUCUUGUAGAGGGGGGUAGAAUUCCAGGUGUAGCGGUGAAAUGCGUAGAGAUCUGGAGGAAUACCGGUGGCGAAGGCGGCCCCCUGGACAAAGACUGACGCUCAGGUGCGAAAGCGUGGGGAGCAAACAGGAUUAGAUACCCCUGUAGUCCCUGUCUCUUAUAA
rnacentral:rRNA from 1 species